UAAUUAUAUGGAUGGUAUUUGUCUGGGGAAACCAUUGCAUGAGAAUGAUACAAAGACGUAAGCAAAAUUGAAGAAAGCAGACGCAGAAUGAAAAAAACAUCAUUUUAAAAGGAGUUUAGAUGAGUAGUACUAUUCUUUAAAAUCACCGAGAGAUUUAAAGAUCGUGACAAUCGAUGAAGGAGGAGAACCAGAAUCGAAGGUGCUGCCGGGCUCAUCAUUUAGUAAAAUAUUUUUUAAAAUUGAAUACUCCCAUGAUAAUGGAGGAAGAAACUCAGGUUGUAUGGGCCAUUUUGAGAAGUAUUCAGAACUAUGUAAUAUUGCAUCCCUUCGUUUGAGCUGAUGUUUGAUCAUACCCCAAAAUCGACGCCAACACCAACCGUAGUUUGCUUCCACCACUUCUGUAACAACCUGAGAAAAUCUGUCCUUUGUUACGAUUCCAUCCUCCAGCAAAUCCUUGAGAGACUCUGCGGAAACUUCAUACUGCUCUUUUAAUGCGGUGUACAUUUGUAAAAUGCAAGAUGCAUUACACCAAUUAUGGUUGAUAGAGAGUGUAGUUCCAAUAUUUAAAACCUGAUGAUACCAACCACUUGGAACAAACACUGUUUGUCCAGGAUAUUGGAAGAGAAUUUUUAUCAAAUGUCGAUGAUUUACAAGUGGACCUCUAAAUAAAUCAUCUUUUGUGAUCCAUGAAGGUAAUUGCUGGUCAUCAUAAAGGGAGGCAAUCGUUUGAAGGUCUUUGGGAUCGAUAAAAAGCCAGCAUUUCACACCGCAGAGAUUAACAGAGAAGGAGUGGCUAGCAUAGACAUCGGUGUGUAGGCCAGUAGUCGUUAAAUGACUACCUAAAUAUGCGAAACGGAAAUCAUCGGAUUCACAAUCAAUCACGUAUGCAUUUAACCAGUCGUCGGCGAAAAUGUCCGGAGUACUGUAAGGAAAAUCGGCAGGGUCUAGAUGUCGAAACAAGUGCAUAUCCUUGGCAUAUAAGGAUUUCAAAGCCUGAUUACUUGGAGCCUGCCGGCAUUGUAGUUGGACCUGUUCAUCGCGAAGUUCAUGAAGUGCACUCUUCAAGGGAACUGUUUCACGACGUUGAGAUCCAUAACGAUCUUUUUCAUUGCAAUAAGCCAAUGGUACAGGAAUCGUUCCGUAAUUUUCUUCUAAGUAUUCAUAGUUUGGCGAUAACAAUAACGAAUCCAAAAACACAUUUUUAUCCUCAUUAUUCACAAUCCUUUCUGCAUAUGACCUAAUGAAAUUCUUUAUAUCAUUGUCGUUUAGUAGUGAAUUCCCACUAGUGUUGUCUCUAGAAGUACAAGGUUUGUCAGGUAGAAUGUAACUAUGCAGGAUAUUAGGAUCACCCUUACUAGUUAUCCACGUAGUAUUUGCUUUCCAUUGAGCAGUAAGCUUCGGUCCAAUAAGUACGGGAACGCAAGGUUUUAGAUACUGCUCAAGGAAUACCUGGUAUGGGCAUGAAUCUAUGAACUCGAUUUUCGGUAAGUCGUCAAACUCAUGAGCAGUGGGACGAUACACCAUCGUGAUGAACUUGAUGAUUCAUUUAGUGGAGAAAGUGUAUAUGUAAUUUACGUAACAAAAUGUUGUUUUUUCGCUAGUAAAAUGACCAGCGGGUGUAGCUAUACGAUGACGAUGAUAAAUUGACUGAGGUUACGGAAGGAUAAAUGGAUGAUGGAUCACGACAUCACGAAGUUGGUGUUAAGUAAAAAAAAAAAAAAAAAAAAGAAGGGAUAAGAAGAAUGGAAAAUGCUAUUUACCGUCUGACCUCAAUUUUCAUAUGAAAAUAGCAUCAGAUAGUCAGAUAAGGUGAGUACUCCUUACGCUACAGAGAGUGAGUAUAUUUAUUGGAGUGUGUAUUUGUUUGCCAAAAGUUUAUGAAAACUACCAAAUAAUAAAAUUAAUUUAUUUAACUGAAUGCAAGAAUAAAAAUAAAAAUAAAGCAGAAAUCGGAUAUCUAUCAUUUAAACUCAGACAUUCAGGAAACGAGCGAGAUAAUAUGCCCGUACCAAGGUUUACAAGUUAAAUAAGAAUCACAGAGGUAAACAUUAGAUUAUACACUGAAUGUGAACGCAAAGAUUUAUCUAUACUUUCGAGGAAGUAAGGAUGAUAAUUAUUAUCUUUUUUUUUUUUUUUUUUUAAAAAGCCAUACUACAAGUGUAGACAUCAUCAACUCGGUCCAAGUUUUACUGUUGCAAAAUCUAUUUUUAUAAA
rnacentral:lncRNA from 1 species